rnacentral:rRNA from 1 species
UACGUAGGGGGCAAGCGUUGUCCGGAAUCAUUGGGCGUAAAGAGCGUGUAGGCGGCCCGGUAAGUCCGCUGUGAAAGUCCAGGGCUCAACCCUGGGAUGCCGGUGGAUACUGUCGGGCUCGAGUCCGGGAAGAGGAGUGUGGAAUUCCUGGUGUAGCGGUGAAAUGCGCAGAUAUCAGGAGGAACACCAAUGGCGAAGGCGGCUCACUGGCUCGUAUCUGACGCUCAGGCGCGACAGCG